GGCCCUGCCGGAGAGGUGGCCGUGCAGGUACUCGAUUCCCAGACGCCUUCGCGCGCCCCUUGGCCAUUUCGGCCUGGGCGCCAUGGGCCGCAGUGAGAGCAGCUGAGGAGCCCCCGUGCGGAAAAAGUUGUGCUGACAGAUCUGGGUUUGCAGGAUAUGAAGAGCACUCAGGUCGGACGCCUUCCUUUACUGCCACACAGGGUCUUUGGAGCAAGUGACCCAGUACCUCUCCUAGCUGGAGAAAGGGCUCAGGAUUCCUCCCGAUAGAGAUCUCUGUGAGGAUGUCAAAGAGGAAAUCAGGACUAUCGCCUCACUGGGUUUGGGGCAUGGAAUUGAGAAUGAGUUUACCCAGAAGGAAACUCUUGAGGAAUUGGAAUUCAGAGGAGCGGUACUGGAACGCGCCAUCGGAAACAUUCUUCAGGGUUCGGAAUCAGCGGACACCUACGGGUCAGAAGAACAGUGGAAAAUCUCUCCAGAGGAGUUGCAGAGAGAGCCCUCUCGGGGGGUGACCGAUCCUGGAGAAUUCACAGGGAUAACUGCCCUCAUCAAGAAACCACCUUUAGCAGAAAAUCCCCAUGAAUGUAUUGAAUGGGGGAAGCGCUUCAGGUAGAAGUCAUAUCUAAAGUAUCACCAGAGAGCCCACACGGGAGAGAAGCCAUUUUUAUGUAACGAAUAUGGGAAAAGCUUCAACCGAAAUUCAUCACUUAAAAACCACCGGCUAAUCCACACCAGGGAGAGCCCCUAUACACAUGAUGAGUGUGGAAGAAGCUUUAAAACAAGCUCAGGACUCCAGAAACAUCAGAUCACCCACACAGAAGAGAAAUCUUGUCAUUGCAGCAGAUGUGGGACACGGUUCAAGUCCAGAGCUCAUCUUGCCGGUCAUCGGAUGAUCUACACGGGAGAGAAGCCUCCCAGGUGCGACUGUGGGAAAAGUUUUAAUCGUUACUCAAGCUUCAUCCGACACCAGAGAUUCCAUUCAGGAGAGAAGCCCUACGAAUGUCAGGAAUGCGGAAAGAGCUUCAGUCUCAACUCAAAUCUUAUUCAACAUCAGAAAACCCAGAGGAGAGAAGCCGUAUAAAUGUAAUAAGUGUGACGAUCGCUUCAGCCGGAGCUCAGACCUUAUUGGGCAUCAGAAAAGCCAUACAGGAGAGAAGUGACUGCUGACUCUAGAACCAGUUAGGAGGAUGGACCUGUAAGAAUGGGGGGGUGUGGGGGUGUGGGUGACACGCACAUAUAUAAUGGUUGAGAUUGCUGAACUCUGUGGUAUUUGACCCUUUUUUCUUAAUAUCAUGAUAUUCCAGAAGUCUUUUCAGGAGAAGGACCACCUCUUCUCUGAUUGCCACUAUAUAAAAUGGUUGCUUUGCUCCAUUUCAGUUCACUCUGCAGCAGCCACUCGGGUAUCCUGUGAUUACCCAUUCUCCUUCAAGAUCUGCCUAGGGAUAUCAAAUUGAGACGGUUAUUGUUUUGACGGUGGAAGAAAUUGCAAUCCAAGACCUAACUGUGGGAUCCUGACCUGUCAUGUGCUGUUUGACACUUCAGUGUAACGGGUGAAAGUCCUCUGGAAGAUGGAUGUGACAUCUUAGGGAGGCUGAAGUAUCACAGCCUUUUAGAAGGUUGGACACUUCUGCAGAUCUCCAGUUUAGUCUGGAUCUCAAUGCCACACUUUUGGUCUCCCAGAGAGUCUUCUACUUGUAGAUUAAAUGUACUAUCGGAAAAGGCCAUGCCUGGGUAGCAGAAACCAAUGACAAACUGGGUGUCCUCCCAGACAUGAGAAAUUUGAAAUUUUUCCUUUAAGAUACUGAAGUCUAAUAUUCCCAUUUUCCCUUUAUAAAUAGGGGAGUUCACUAAAAAGUAGGAAUAAGUACGUGUUCUCACAUUCUACUAGUUACCAAGGCCAGUGAUGAUGGAAAAUGCUUUCCUUUCUGGUAGAGAUCUAGGAAUUGGAAUUUAAUGCUGAAAGCAAACAUUCAAAAUCUUGUGUUUUCUUUUAGUAGUUCUGGGUUGGGCAUUGUCUCAUUCAAGCUAAAUGUAUUCUCCCCACCAGGAGUAGGUAUUUUCCAGUGAGAGCAAUAAAACUUAACCAGGUUGAGUUCAUAA